rnacentral:sRNA from 1 species
GAAUAGCCCUGAUAGAAGCGGUAUCCUUUUUCUUUUUUCUUUAAAAAGAAAAAGAUAUAGCGAAUAGCAGGACUGAAU